GGAAAACUUAUCAGGUCCAGACAAAGUGAGGAUUGACAGAUUGAGAGCUCUUUCUUGAUUCUUUGGGAGGUGGUGCAUGGCCGUUCUUAGUUGGUGGAGUGAUUUGUCUGGUUUAUUCCGUUAACGAACGAGACCCUCGCCUGCUAAAUAAUCGAUUUUAUCAAUUUGAUAGAUUACGGUUUCUUAGAGGGACAUGUAGCAUUAAGCUACAGGAAGAUGAGGGCGAUAA
rnacentral:rRNA from 1 species